UACGGAGGGUGCGAGCGUUGUUCGGAAUCACUGGGCGUAAAGCGCGUGUAGGCGGCCCAUUAAGUCUGAUGUGAAAGCCCGGGGCUCACCCCCGGAAGUGCAUUGGAGACUGGCGGGCUCGAGUCCCGGAGAGGAGGGUGGAAUUCCUGGUGUAGCGGUGAAAUGCGUAGAUAUCAGGAGGAACACCGGUGGCGAAGGCGGCCCUCUGGACGGUGACUGACGCUGAGGCGCGAAAGCGUGGGGAGCGAACAGG
rnacentral:rRNA from 1 species